rnacentral:rRNA from 1 species
CCUACGGGAGGCAGCAGUGAGGAAUAUUGGUCAAUGGACGCAAGUCUGAACCAGCCAUGCCGCGUGCAGGAAGACUGCUCUAUGAGUUGUAAACUGCUUUUGUACGGGGGUAAACGCAGAUACGCGUAUCUGUCUGAAAGUAUCGUACGAAUAAGGAUCGGCUAACUCCGUGCCAGCAGCCGCGGUAAUACGGAGGAUUCAAGCGUUAUCCGGAUUUAUUUGGUUUAAAGGGUGCGUAGGUGGUCGGUUAAGUAAGUGGUGAAAGUCCGAGGCUCCACUGUGGAAUUGCAUUGGCUCAUGGUCGGCUAGAGAGUAGUUGCGGUAGGCGGAAUGUAUGGUGUAGCGGGGAAAUGCUUAGAGAUCAUACAGAACCCCGAUUGCGAAGGCAGCUUACCAAGCUACUUCUGACGUUGAGGCACGAAAGCGUGGGGAGCAAACAGGAUUAGAUACCCUUGUAGUC